CAUUGAAAAACUGGUUUCCAUAUGAUCACUGAAGUUAAGCAACAUCAAACCUGGUCUGUACAUAGAUGGGUGACCAGUUGGGAAUACCAGGAGCUGUAAG